GAGGCUUUCGUUUCAGCUUUGGCUAUCUAGUUUAUCUUUCUUCUCAUUGAGUUUGCAUGUCCUAAAGACUGAACUCAUGUAACUUUAUUUUAGAUGCUCCAUGUCUUAGUGUGGGAUUUAGGACAAAGAUUUAAUUCUUGAGUGAUUGUUGAAUUAUAGUUUGAUUAUGGAUUUUUGUUUGAGUUAUUAUUCGUUAUUUAUUGAUG
rnacentral:lncRNA from 1 species